rnacentral:lncRNA from 1 species
CCUGCUUGGCACAGACAGCCCCAGAAACCUCCGGAUCUUAACCGAACUCUAUAAGUUAAACCGUCCCCAUCUGUCACAGCGCAGCCCCACACAGAUGCAUGCUGAGUUUUUUUUUUUUACAGCAGACUUGGCGCACAUUCAAGAACUGUCAAAGAGCACCUGCUAAAUUAACCGCUGAGCUGCUCUAAAUAGGUGCCACCCUGAAUAGGAGACAGAUGGAAACGAAGGUUCCCCACUGAGCGGUUCCCCUGCAGCUGUGCUGUGUUCCCAAUGCCAGGGAGUGAUGACAGCCCACCAAGGGGCACAGAGACACACGGAGACACACGUUCUGAGUGCCAUCACGCUCACUCACAAUGCCAGGACCGACUGGUAGGGAGGGUGGGAGGAGGAGGUAGGUCAACAUUCACAGACGGAUUACCAGGAUGUGUACUCCAAGCAUACGCUGACCAACUGGCAAGUGUCUUCACUGACAUGUUCAACCUCUCCCUGACCCAGUCUGUAAGCAGACCACCAUAGUCCCUGUGCACAAGAACACCAAGGUAACCUGCCUAAAUGACUACCGACCCGUAGCACUCACGUCUGUAGCCAUGAAGUGCUUUGAAAGGCUGGUCAUGGCUCACAUCAACACCAUUAUCCCAGAAACCCUAGACCCACUCCAAUUUGCAUACCGCCUCAACAGAUCCACAGAUGACGCAAUCUCUAUUGCUGUCCACACUGCCCUUUCCCACCUGGACAAAAGGAACACCUAUGUGAGAAUGCUGUUCAUUGACUACAGCUCAGCGUUCAACACCGUAGUGCCCUCAAAGCUCAUCACUAAGCUAAGGAACCUGGGUCUAAACACCUCCCUUUGCAACUGGAUCCUGGACUUCUUGACGAGCCGCCCCCAGGUGGUAAGGGUAGGUAACAAUACAUCUGCCACGCUGAUCCUCAACACGGGGGGUCCCUCAGCUGCACCAUUGAGAGCAUCCUGACUGGUUGCAUCACCGCCUGGUUUGGCAACUGCCCAGCCUCCGACCGCAAGGCACUACAGAGGGUAGUGCAUACGGCUCAGUACAUCACUGUGGCCAAGCUUUCUGCCAUCCAGGACCUCCAUACCAGGCGGUGUCAGAGGAAGGCCCUAAAAAUUGCUAAAGAUUCCAGCCACCCUAGUCAUAGACUGUUCUCUCUGCUACCGCACGGCAAGUGGUACCGGAGCGCCAAGUCUAGGUCCAAGAGGCUUCUUAACACCUCUAACCCCAAGCCAUAAGACUCCUGAACAGCUAAUCAAAUGGUUACCUGGACUAUUUGCAUUGAUCCCCCCCACCCCCAUUUUUACACUGCUGCUACUCUCUGUUUAUUAUCUAUGCAUAGUCACUUUACCUCUACGUACAUGUACAUAUUACCUCAAUUACCUCAACUAACCUGUGCCCCCAUACAUUGACUCUGUACCGGUACCCCCUGUAUAUAGCGUCACUACUGCUAUUUUAUUGUUGCUCUUUAAUUAUUUGUUAUUUUUAUAUUUUAUUUUUCUUUCUUUAUUUUUCUUUAUUUUUUACUUCAGUUUAUUUUAGUAAAUACUUUCUUAACACUUAUUUUUCUUUAAAACUGCAUUGUUUCUUAAGGGCUUGUAAGUAAGCAUUUCAGUGUGACCUGUUUGAUCCCCUAACGACACCCUACAGGAUACAGAGGCUUGGGUCGGGCAAGAGAACAUUUUGCCACGGCACCCACCACAAUGAAUAGCACCCUACCUGUGAAACAAAUUAAACACUUUGUGUAAAUGAAACAUGAAAAUGAAACAUGGAUACAUAUAUUUACACACCCAUUGUCAAAUUCAUUUAUUUGGAGACUUGUUUGGUAUCAGGGCUUGGUUGUCAUGACAUGACCUGACACUUGAAAGACUUACUUUUUUAUCAUUUUGUCUUAUGUGGCAGUCAUUAAACAAGAGAAUCUGUCUGUCUGCAGGAUAUAGACCCACGUUAGUCCUCAGAUGUGAUUUUCGCAGAGACCAGACCACUUAGACAGGAGAGCAGGACCCAGCUCGGAGCAGACGGCAGACAAUGAGACCGAGAGAAAAGAGACACCCCCGUCAGAAUGUAACUGCAGCCAAUUAGGCCGCUAGCCUCUGACAUAUUGUGUACCGGCCCCAUGAAUAUUUCAUCAGAG